rnacentral:rRNA from 1 species
AUUGAACGCUGGCGGCAUGCUUUACACAUGCAAGUCGAACGGUAACAGCACUUCGGUGGCUGACGAGUGGCGAACGGGUGAGUAAUACAUCGGAACGUGCCUAGUAGUGGGGGAUAACUACUCUAAAGGGUAGCUAAUACCGCAUGAGAUCUAAGGAUGAAAGCAGGGGACCUUCGGGCCUUGCGCUACUAGAGCGGCUGAUGGCAGAGUAGGUAGUUGGUGGGGUAAAAGCUUACCAAGCCGACGAUCUGUAGCUGGUCUGAGAGGACGACCAGCCACACUAGGACUGAGACACGGCCCAGACGACUACGAGACGCAGCAGUCGGGAAUGUUGGACAAUGGGCGCAAGCCUGAUCCAGCAAUGCCGCGUGCAGGAUGAAGGCCUUCGGGUUGUAAACUGCUUUUGUACGGAACGAAAAGCCCUCUUCUAAUACAGGAGGGUCAUGACGGUACCGUAAGAAUAAGCACCGGCUAACUACGUG